rnacentral:rRNA from 1 species
AAAAAUGACUCUCGGCAACGGAUAUCUCGGCUCUCGCAUCGAUGAAGAACGUAGCAAAAUGCGAUACCUGGUGUGAAUUGCAGAAUCCCGUGAACCAUUGAGUUUUUGAACGCAAGUUGCGCCCGAGGUCUUCUGGCCGAGGGCACGCCUGCCUGGGCGUCACGCC